rnacentral:rRNA from 1 species
UACAGAGGGGCCAAGCGUUAUUCGGAAUUAUUGGGCGUAAAGGGCGCGUAGGCGGCUUGGCAAGUGGAAGGUGAAAUCCCUCGGCUUAACCGAGGAACUGCCCUCCAAACUGCUUUGCUUGAGGCCGGGAGAGGCGAGUGGAAUUCCCAGUGUAGCGGUGAAAUGCGUAGAUAUUGGGAGGAACACCAGUGGCGAAGGCGGCUCGCUGGACCGGUUCUGACGCUGAUGCGCGAAAGCGUGGGGAGCAAACGGG